rnacentral:misc_RNA from 1 species
AUUAAAUAUCGCUAACCACGAGGUUUUCUUUAUUGAAAGAUAUUUGAAGCUUUUAAAUUUGUUUAGUUAUUCUAAAUUGUAUAAUGAAUAAAAGUAUUUUUUCUCUUGAUUUAGCACAUUCAGUGGGCACAGCUAUGUCACCCAAAUCACCUGUAACUGUUGAAAAACACAUUUUUUGGACAUAUGCAGAUGUUUGUGCUAAAGUUAAAGAGCAUGAAAUGUUGCACACAGUACAUUAUGUCAUUGCUCGCACAGGAAAGAUGGAAAAAAACUUUGAAGAACUGUUAAAGAAAGAUCACAAAGUUUUUUUUGAAGACAAAGACUUUUUCUACACUGGUGUGCCAUUCAUUUUUUCAGGACAUACUUCUCUUGACUGUCAACAAGGAAUGGACAGAAACAUUAGAGCAAAAGCUCAGUACAGAAAAAAGAAAAAUGAUGAAGCAGUUACCGACCAUUGUUGCCAAAACAACAAAGUUAUUCUUCAGGAUACCAAAAAGUUUGAUUGUCCAGCGAUGGUUUAUAUAAAAGAAAUAGUCGAAUUUCCGGAGUUUGAGCUAAUAAGAGAUUCAUCAUGGUUAAGAAAAGAAACUUCAAAAAAACUUCGUCUAGCCAUGUUGGAGAAAAGAAAUUUAGUUAUGCGUAGAAAAUAUAUUUUAGUUUUGCCAGAUAUUUCUGCUCAUAAAAACCAUGCUACAGGAGAUGCAGCAGGUCUCUGUCAACCUAUUUCUGAGGAUCUGAUUAUAAAAAUUGGAGAAUUAGUAAAAAAGGGUGUCAACUCUGUUCCGGAGAUGAGGCGGCAUCUUGAUUUUUUUGUUCAAGCUCAAUUUACUUUAAAUAAUGUUCCUCACAAAGAAAACAAGCGUUACUUUCCAUUGGAUAAGACCAUUCGAAACCAUAUGAUAAAUGCAAGAAGAAAACUUCGGAGGUCUUUGAUCGAUCAAGAAUGUUUGCUUGAUAAAAUUAAUGAAUGGAGAAUCAUCUCCAAAGAAGCCAUGAUAAAAUUUAGACCAAAAGGUAUCAGUAUUCUGGAAGACAAUGAUCCACAGCUUAAGGAUUCAUUGUUGUUUGUAUUCCAAGAUAAGUGGCAAAGGAGACUGCUUUUGCGAUAUGGAAAUGAGCUUAUUUUCCUUGAUGCUACAUAUCGCACAACAAGAUAUGCUCUUCCCUUGUUUUUUCUAGUUGUCAAGACAAACACUGAUUAUCAAGUUGUCGCGAUUUUUGUAUGCGAGAAUGAAACAACAGAAGCUAUCACAGAGGCACUGAUGUGCAUUAAAAAAUGGAAUCCUUUGUUUCAACCUAAAUUUGUUUUAACUGAUUAUUCCAAUGAAGAGAUAAACUCAUUAGAGUAUGUGUUUCCAGGAUCAAAUGUCUUAAUUUGUGACUUUCACAGAGAACAGGCUUGGGAAAGAUGGUUGUCAAAAAUCACUAACGGAUGUUCCUCAGUAAAAGAAGUAGUUAAGUUAAAACUUCGUCAAAUUGCUAAUUCAAAAACAGAAGAGAUUUGCAUAAAUGCUGUAAAUGCUUUCAAAGAGUCAGAAGAGUGGAAAAAUCACCCAAAACUUCGAGAGUACUUAAAAAACACUUGGUUAUGCAACCAAAAGAGAUGGGUGUUUGCUUUUCGGCAACAUCGCCUUUUGCGAAAUGUCAACACAAACAAUGGUACUGAAAGACAGAACCAAUCUCUAAAAUACAGCUUUUUGGAAAAAAGGAAAAACUCUUCUCUUACAGCUAUGCUAAGUGUUUGCAUUGAUGAAUUCCUUCCUCAUAACUAUAACAAUUAUGCUGAUAAAAACAGAAGAGCGCACUCAUCUUAUAGAAAGUAUAAUAGUAAGAUUCCAGUAUAUUUAAUAAACCGCCCUCGACCUUUAGUAAAGCAUUGCAUGAACAUGAUAGAUAAGCUACAAGGUUUAGACUUGGAGGGAAUUAAUGCUGUUACAGAUAGAUUGUACAAUGUUGCAUCAUUUCAGUCAAAUAGUAGAGAAAUUUACCAAUGUUUUCUUGGUGAUGCAAAACACUUGCCAAGCUGUUCCUGCCCUUCUUGGUUUAGUAGCAUAUAUCCAUGCAAACACAUUUUUGCAGUUUUCAGUAAAGAAAAUCUUUCUUGGUCUGAUUUUGAUCCAUCUUAUGGCAAUUCUCCAUAUUUCAUCUUAGAUCCAUUGCUGAAUGAAAAUAAUUACUCAACUUCAUUUCAUUGUCAAGAUUUACCUGAAACUGUUAAUUUAUCUUUUAAAAAAAAUCCUCUUGAUAAUGCCAAAGUAGUGAGUGACAGCAGUGAGUUUGUACCAUCAGAACAUUGUCAGACAUUACCAAAUAUUAAUCAUAUACAGGCUAGUCAUCAUACACCUGCUGCAUGUCGUGAACUCUUAAACGAAAUCAUAAAACUUACUCAUUUAAGUAAAUCUCAAACAGCAACAGAUAACUUGUUUGAGGGACUUUAUAAACUUAAAACCAGCUAUGCAGAAUCUCUUACAAAAGAACAAGGCAUUAUUCUUCGGCCAGACCCUAAACCUGACAUUUGGAAAAAGUCUGUUACAAAUUCUCCUAAUCUUGUUAAUAUUCCAGUUCAACGGAAAAGAAAAAUAACCAGAAGAGUAGGUGUAAAGUAUGAUGUUAAAAAAGCAGCUUCAAAUAUAAGUUUGAUAUCAAACAUACAAAAUGAUUCUUGCUUUUCUGAGAUUGUUACAAAUCAUGUGAUUAGUGAUAGUUGUGAAAUGUUUGAUGUUUCAACAGAGUCAUUUGAACUUGAAGAAGAAAUAUCUAAUAAUUGCCAGGAGCUGCAUGAAGCUACUAUAAUUAAUGAUUUUGACCCACUGCAAAGCACCCUUUACUCCAUUCAAAGUCUGAAAUCCUCUUUCAUUGGAAAUUCCGAAAGAAUUGAUAUAGAAAAAGGGAAAAUGCUUAAUGACAAUACUAUUCACUUUUUUCAACGAUUAAUGUCGAUUCAGUUAAAUGUUGAUGUUGGUUUGCAGGAUCCUAUUAAAGGAAAAGUUUUAUCUUUUGAUAUCUAUCAGAGCAUUCCGUUUGUACAAAUCCUCCAUGAUGGAAAUUUACACUGGAUUUGUGUUACCACAUAUGAUUGCAAGCCUGGUGAGGUAUACAUUUUUGAUAGCCUUUUCCAUGGUUCAAUAAGUAUUGAAACAAAAAGGCAAAUAUGCUCUAUUUUACAUUGUCAAAAAAAAAAACUUGUGAUAAAGGUUUUACCAACUCAACAGCAAACUAACGGUGUAGAUUGUGGUCUGUAUUCUAUUGCCUGGGCACGCCAGAUACUUGAAACAAAGUGUAUUCCAUUAGUUAGUUUAAUGUUUGAACAAAGUGCAAUGAGGAAUCAUCUUCUAAAGUGUUUGCUAAACAACCGAUUAGAUGUCUUCCCAACUGCCAUUAAUCCUUCAAUAUCUAAAAGAUGCCUAGCAAAGACUUUUCAUCUUCUUUUACAUUGCUCAUGUAGAAUGUUUUGGACCCUAGAAGAUGAGCACAUUUUUAACAGGCAAAUGGCUGAAUGCAGUACUUGUUGCAAAUGGUUUCAUCGGGAGUGUGAAAAAAUCCCACCAACUGCAUAUGAGAAGGAUGAUGUAAUCUGGAACUGUCAUGAGUGCCACAGGCAAGCAUCGCAAAGAUAAAGAUUUGUUUGUUAGUUGAUAUAUUUUUAUACUAUUUAAGAUCAACGCCACCUGCUAACAUCUACAGCUCAAAAUCAAUUUUUGGAGAAAAUAUUUGAAGAAUAUAAUGAAAAAAGAUGCACAAGCCACCUCAGUCAGCUUUGGUGGGGUGUUAACUCACCUGUAAGUUUUUUUUUAUGUCUAUUUGUGUUUUGUUUAAACUAAUGGCACAGAGUUAACUCAUCCAUAAAUUACUUAAUGUCUGUUUGUGUUCUGUUUGAACCUCUGGCGCGGUGUUAACUCACCCGUAAGUUACUUUAUGUCUGUUUGUGUUCUGUUUGAACCUCUGGCGCGGUGUUAACUCACCCGUAAGUUACUUUAU